UUAUGAACAAAGUAAACGAUAGAUAUCGAUCUAAAUAUCUUUUAUUGAGUAGCGUCUUAAAAAGAUCUUUCAAGAUCUUAUCCUGAUCUCAAAUUUGAAAACAAAGCAAAUUUAGAAAAUAAUUUGCUUUGAGACUCACAUGGCAUCACCAUAACAACGGAACCGUAACUUUAUAGCUGAAACUUUGGCCGUGUUAACAUGGGACGUGGCCAUGGACCAUCAAGACGAACCGAGGUCUCUAAGACGAAGAAUUAUGCGCAACAGCCUAUUCAUUUUUGUCGGAUUUGUUUUGAUUAUUCUUUGCUUCGUUUUCUUGGGAAUCGCACAGCAGCGCCAACAUAUAACCUCAGGACACUGUAGCCACUGUUACAGUAAAAAUGCUCCCAAGAUAUUUCGACUUUUAGCAGCGAUUUGUUUUGUAAUUGGUUCGACGAUAAUGACAAUUUUUUGGUGGCACAUCAGAGUAAUGAGAAGUGCGUUGAUAAUGCGCCAAAGACGCAUCGAAUUGGAGGGAUUAUUAGAAAACCACAAUCAAACAGGCAGAAGAACAUGCAGAGCAUCUCUUGGAAAGAGAAACAGCGGUUGAAAAUUUAUAACACGCUUAUGGAUUUUGGAGAACGUGACGAAAAUCACACUAAUGAUUUCGAACGUACAGACGUUAACCACCCAAUUAGUCAUUAACUGAUGUAUGCAUACUUGCGUAUGUUUCGACGUGGAUGCUAUGAAACGCCUUAUUAGUUUAUAUACUUAGAACUAACCCUCUUAGAUCAAGCAUUGUUAAGUUCAAAGUUGUUUACCACGGACAUUGAUGUAGAUCUAAAGCUUGGCAAGUGUAACAUUUUGACUUCUUUGUUUGUAUCCGUUACAUAAGUGGAGCAUUCGAACGAGAAAUACUGGAAUCCUUACAGAAUUUCCAUUUUUCUGUUUGUCCUAUACGCGUGACAGAUAUAGUAUUUCCUUCUCCGAGCAGUUGAUGUCAAGAGCCGUAAUCUGUUGUUGAUUAGUCAACAACGAAAUAGCUACAAUCGUCGUAAAAGUAAAGUUUUAUUUUUAGGUGAAUUUUUAUUCACUUUUCCUGAAGGACAAGUGCACAGACAGAAAAAAAAGGAAUUUUGAAACUCUGCGAUUAGGUUAAAACUCGAGAAUACCAUUAAAAAUAUAUAAACAUUUUAUUUACUGAUUUAUAAUGUAAGAAUUAAAGAGAUUAUCAUAACCGAG